rnacentral:rRNA from 1 species
GGGGGAUAUUGCACAAUGGAGGAAACUCUGAUGCAGCAACGCCGCGUGAGGGAAGACGGUUUUCGGAUUGUAAACCUCUGUCCUUGGUGACGAAAAAAAUGACGGUAGCCAAGGAGGAAGCUCCGGCUAACUACGUGCCAGCAGCCGCGGUAAUACGUAGGGAGCAAGCGUUGUCCGGAUUUACUGGGUGUAAAGGGUGCGUAGGCGGCUCUGCAAGUCAGGCGUGAAAACUAUGGGCUUAACCCAUAGACUGCGUUUGAAACUGUGGGGCUUGAGUGAAGUAGAGGUAGGCGGAAUUCCCGGUGUAGCGGUGAAAUGCGUAGAGAUCGGGAGGAACACCAGUGGCGAAGGCGGCCUACUGGGCUUUAACUGACGCUGAAGCACGAAAGCAUGGGUAGCAAAC